AGAGUUUGAUCAUGGCUCAGGAUGAACGCUAGCUACAGGCUUAACACAUGCAAGUCGAGGGGAAACGACAUCGAAAGCUUGCUUUUGAUGGGCGUCGACCGGCGCACGGGUGAGUAACGCGUAUCCAACCUGCCCACCACUUGGGGAUAACCUUGCGAAAGUAAGACUAAUACCCAAUGACGUCUCUAGAAGACAUCUGAAGGAGAUUAAAGAUUUAUCGGUGAUGGAUGGGGAUGCGUCUGAUUAGCUUGGUUGGCGGGGUAACGGCCCACCAAGGCGACGGAUCGAGUAGGGGUUCUGAGAGGAGGUCCCCCANAUUGGAACUGAGACACGGUCCAAACUCCUACGGGAGGCA
rnacentral:rRNA from 1 species